rnacentral:sRNA from 1 species
UAUUCACUUUGUCCGUCUAAUAGUGAAGAAA